rnacentral:pre_miRNA from 2 species
UCUUAUGGAUGAGCAAAGAAAGUGGUUUCUUGAGAUAGAAUCUGCUUCUGGUGAAGAUGCUGUGAA